rnacentral:lncRNA from 1 species
UUCUUCUUUUUUUUUUUUGUCAAAGGGUUUUCAUUUUUAUUGACUUUUUGUGAGUAUAGAUGGAAACAACAUAAUGGGCUAAGCCCUACAAAGUGGUUACAUAAAUUUAAAAACUGAAAUUAAAGAGGUCCAACCCAGCUAAAGGGAAACCUUACCCAACUUGCAAAGAGGCCCAAUAAGCAAAAUCGAUUGGACCAAAUGCCCAAACCGAAAAAGCCCACAACCAACCCAAGCCAAAAUUAGGUCAAGCGAAGAAGCUGUUCCGCCGCCGACUGAGACAACCGGAGUCCGCACAUGACGGAUCCUGGCCAAGAUCCGUCAAGUCCCUACUCGGCCGGAGACCGAGCGACCGGAGAUCCAACGCCGGGAACCGAAACUCAAACUUGACCCUUGCUGGAGAACACAUCGGAGAAGCUUUGCCAACCAAAAGACGCCGGCCUACACACACCGGGAAUCUAACGCAGACGAAGACCACUCACCUCACUUAUACGACUGCUCCGCCGUGACCAAAGACAAAGGAAGCAAGCCUCACUUAUAUGUUUCUUCUUGCUUGUGAUAAUUUAUCAUCUAAGAGACAAAGAACCACACGCACACACCAUUAGAAAACCAAGGCAACUGAACAUGAAGAAAAAGGAGGUUGCGUUUCCGUUCAUAACACCACGCUUCCAAAUAUGAAUCGACCGAUUCCCAGACGCUUCCAAUGUGUGAUUUUUUAGAACUGCGCUUCCGUCACGUUUCCGAGCGCUUCCUGACGUUUUCGUACCCGGUUCCGGUUCCGAAGCGGGAAGCGGAGGUUGGAUGCCGAUUCCGUGCUUCCUAGAUUUAAACUGUCAUGUUUACCAAAAAAAAAAAAAAUUUAAACUGUCAUGUUUACCAAAAAAAAAAAAAAAUUUAAACUGUCAUGAUUGGUAGUUGGUACAUACACACACACAAGACAAGAAAAAGAAAACUUAGAAAAAUAAACACAUGGUUAUUAACUGGACAACGAAGAUGCUAAUAAACU